GUGGGGAAUAUUGGACAAUGGGCGAAAGCCUGAUCCAGCCAUGCCGCGUGUGUGAAGAAGGUCUUCGGAUUGUAAAGCACUUUAAGUUGGGAGGAAGGGCAGUAAGUUAAUACCUUGCUGUUUUGACGUUACCGACAGAAUAAGCACCGGCUAACUUCGUGCCAGCAGCCGCGGUAAUACGAAGGGUGCAAGCGUUAAUCGGAAUUACUGGGCGUAAAGCGCGCGUAGGUGGUUUUGUAAGUUGGAGGUGAAAUCCCCGGGCUCAACCUGGGAACUGCCUCCAAAACUGCAUGGCUAGAGUACGGUAGAGGGUAGUGGAAUUUCCUGUGUAGCGGUGAAAUGCGUAGAUAUAGGAAGGAACACCAGUGGCGAAGGCGACUACCUGGACUGAUACUGACACUGAGGUGCGAAAGCGUGGGGAGCAAACAGGAUUAGAAACCCGAGUAGUCC
rnacentral:rRNA from 1 species